rnacentral:lncRNA from 1 species
GGAACAGAUGGGACUUGCCAUGGUGCUGCUGGCACCCCAGGGACCCCCCGCCCGGUGGUGCAUUCACCCGCACCCCCUCGUUCUGUGCCAGCCCCGAGGCUGCUGCUCCCCUCUCGGCUCCGGGCACCGAGGCAGCGACAAAGCAGGGAUCGUGGCAGCCCAGCGCGGCUGUUCCCGAGCUCAGCCCAUUGUUCCGCGCCGCAGCCGGGUGACAAAGGGGCUGCCACAGCCCCCGGAGCUCAGCGCCCCCAUCCCGGGGAUGCUGCGCCCGGCCGGGGGCGCGCAGGGCGGGGGCAGCCGCGGCCGGCCCCCGAGCCCCCCCGGGGCUCUCCGGGAGGGGAGAAGGGGCCGAGGGGGCCGGGAAGCGGCUCUGCCCCCACCCCCGGGCCGGGGGGGCCGGCGUUAAGCCCAGCCCAGCCCAGGCGCCGCAGGGAGGGCGGCCCGGGCGGGGAUGCGGGGCCGGGCUGGGCUCCGCCGGCCGCCCCCCGUGUGGUGCUGAGCCCCGCCGGAGCCAAGCCGGGGCAGGAGCAAACACAUUACUCAGACACCUCCUGCACCGCUCGGCCUUCGGUGUGGCAGCAACAGGCUGAACCAGUCUGCUCGCUGCUCCCCGGGCACCCGCGGCAGGAGGAGCUCUGUGGGAGGCAGGAGCUGGGCUGCGGGCACCGGCUGCGGAUCCAGCACCGCGGAGGCUUUCAUGGAGCGUGGCAGAGAGUGACUGGGGCAGGCAGCGUGUGGCUCCCAGAGGGACUCACCUCCCGAGUCGCAGGUGAGAGGGGUUUGUGGGGAGCCUGGGAGACCGGUGGGGUGUGUGUGUGGUUGUGUGUGUGGGGUUGGAGGUGUCCCUGGGAGCUCGGGUCAGGUGUCUUAGCCCAAAAGGCAUUUUAAAAAAGGAAUUUAGAAGCUGCUUUGGAGCAUGCUUUGCUUGAAUACUGCAGUGUGGAAACAGUGUGUGCCAUGAGGAGUGUUGUGCUGCCCUGCUGUUUUGUUUGCAGGAGCUUCUUGAGGACCCAGAGGGCUGGAGGCUCACAGUACUGGGC